CUCCAUGAUGCCAGAUGACACACACCCAGGAGCCCUAAGGUAUCACUUCUCAAGAUCACACCCAGUGACUCAUUCUUUAAACGUUGGCUUCCUCUUCCUGUCCUGCUGAACUCUGCUGUUUGGGGGAACUUUCUGUUUCCACCAGAGAGGACAACGUAGUGAAUUGUGCACCCAGCGGCAGCAGCGCCCGGUUAGCUCGGAGUCGCGCACCAACCGCAGCCGCCACCCAGGCCCCGCCCAGAGGCAGCCGCGAGCAAGGCCGCGCCAGGGACGACUGCGGAGCGCGGUGAGUGAGCCGGGCCAGUAGGGAGGGUCCCAGGCGUCCCGGGCCCCGCCCCGCCCCUACCCCGGGCGGGCACCCCGACCUUCAGCUCCUCCUUGCUUCUGGACUCUGUGGCUCAGUUUCAGGGCCCCAGAGCCUCCCUGAGAAAGGACCCCGGGCCCCUUCCUUGCGCCGGGCCUCGGGCACACCAGUUCCUCGGACCCCUCCCUUCUUGCGGGAAUCAUGAAUCGGACGCCCCCAGCAGCAUCCCUCUCCCUCCCCGCUCCCCCAGCCCCCGGCCCGGUCCUCCUCGAGCUUCCCUGCCCCUCCCUCUCUCCGGGAGCCAGGAAUGCAGGCCAAAAAUAUCUCUCAGCUCCAGACCUGGGAGGCUCGGCUUGCGAGCACAUCUGAGCGGAUGAAAACCCAGGAGUGUGAGCUUUGAUUGUUUUUUGCGUCAGGAAUCUGGGCCUCCAGCCUAGGCGUCGUUUGGAACCUGGGAGUCCCGUGCUCCGACUCCCACCGCCCGAGAUCCAGACAUUUUGCUGUCAACAUCCCUUCCCCCCGCCCCCAUCGACUGUGAGCUGGGACCCAGGAGUCCCGUCCACCAAUGGGCGAGUCCCAGCGUAAAUGAGGAUUUGGGGACCCAGGAGUCGCCGACCUCAGCCCAGCUCUUAAAGCCUAAGGAUCGGCUCUUUCAGGGACCCUGGCCCACAGACCCCAUCAAACUGACAGGCCCGGUGCCCCCACCCACCGCGACCCAGAUGUCCAAGAUUGCAUCCGGCCUGGAAGAGCCAGACUGCAGCAGGCGACGAGGGGAGGGGGCCGGAAGGGAAAGGGAGAAUUGAGGGAGGUGAUACCGGGGUGGGGACCUGGGCUGGGGGCUCCUUCCAAAACAGACGCCAAACAGACGGGUUGCCAUGGCAACGGCCUUCCCGGGCCUCCCCUGGAGACUGCGCUAGGGCCGAGUCGGGGAGGGCAGCCCCCAGGAGCCCCCACACCGCCAGCUGUUGUAUCUUCCUGUUUUGUCACCACGGCAACAGUGACCUCAGCCCUCCACCCCGCCCCCCCCCCCCCCCGCACUGGCGGGGCCGGAGAGCCCAGGUCCUUUUUUCCCGGGGAGGGGCGUGGUCUUUUCUCGGCUCCGCCUCAGGGGCGGGCCUGGGAUACCCCUGGCUCAGGGAGUCCCUUUCUCAGCGCUGGCCCCGCGCUCGCGCCGGGUCCCCGGCCCCGCCCCCGCCCCGGCCCCGCCCCCGCCCACCAACCCCACCCAGUUAGCAAACGCUUCCAGUCUGCAGCUGUCGCCUCUGUCUCAGCAGCAGCCGCCACAGCCCGAGAGGUGUCUGACCUAAUCCACCUCCAGAGCCGGAUCUUUCUGCGUCUGGGUCCUCCGCAAAGACUGCUGGUGUCUGGUGUGCCCAAGGCUGAGGGCCCAGAGUCCUGGGGUCUGAAGCUGUGUAACAGGACGUGAGAGGCCUGGAGGUUUCCGUGGAAGGGGCUGGGUCUCGGAGAGCCAAGCUUCUUGCGCGCCCUGGGGAAUUUGGAG
rnacentral:lncRNA from 1 species